UUUAAAACCAAAGGCUUUUAACCUUUCUUCUUUAGCUAACAAGAACCUCAUUCUUUUCUUUAACAUUCCCAACACCUUUACUAGAUUUUUUUCUAACUUCUUUAGCUUACUUCCCCUAGAAUUCUUUCCCUUUCCUCAUCAACAAUGGAUUCCCUCUUUUCUUUUAAACACAUCCCAACCCAUGAUAUAAGCGCCCACCUAGUCCUAUCCAGUCUGAAGAACGCGAACUAGAACUACAUGAGACACUAUCUCUGUCGUUACGAACCUAACACUUUCUACCAAGCUCAAUCGAAAUAAGACCUCACAAACACUCACAAGUGAUAUAGGGCUUGAAAGAAAGUUCAGGUUUGGGUAUGGGUUAACUGCUCUAAUAAGGAGAGUCAGCUACUUGGAUCAACAAGAGUGGUUAAAAUGAGUAAGAAAAUCCAAGUAUUUUAGGGUAUCCAUGAGUUCAAAUUCGAUGCCAAGACAUGAUAAUUCUAAAUCAGAUUCAAGUUCAAAUUGAUAGGGAAUGAUAUCAGAUCCUAACAGUGUGGUCGAGUAGAGCAAUCUAGGCAUGGUGCAGUUCUUACUUCAAUUUCAAUGACAACGCAUCAAACAACUAACAACGAGGGCACUGAGCUUAUCUGGUGAACCAAAAUGCUUACAAGGCUAUCUCAUCAUUAUCCCCUAUGCAUAUGCAACAAUCCUAAACGACACACUCUAGACUCGAUCUUAAAUGCAAUGCAACUACAUGAACACUCUAUUUUUGUGAAAUCAUUUUCUGGAAUUUUUCAAUUUUUUUGGUUUUUCUAUGCCUUAGAUGAAUGCAGACUCAAGAUUAUACAAUGCAACACACACUUCCUGAGCCCUCCCCCAAACUUAAAUCACACAGUCCACUGUGUGACCAAAUUUGGAAGAGAGUACUCAGGACAAAAACACAUCACAAAAACAAAAUAAAAACAAGAGAUGGUAUAUUACAAUGGUGGAGUGAGGUGCAUACCUCAGUGGAAGAAGGAGCGGAGUUGGUCGUCAAUAGCUGUCUGUGAUUGCUCCCAGGCCAUCGAAGAAUCUCCCUGUUGUGUCCCAGCUUCCCCCUGGGGGUACUCGACCUCUGCUCCUUCGUCGCGGCCAGCACCGCUGUGAUGAUACUCGACCUCUCUUCUUCUGCUGCGGCCAGAACCGCGGUCGCGUAAGCUACGGGACUGGAAAAGUCGUGUACUCCUACUGCCAGACCGAGCGAGUGCAGCCUUCUUCUUUCUCCCGAGCUCCCGAGGCUCGAAUGAUGAAUGCCUCGCAGGGACUGGUGGGACUACUCGGUCACUAGGCUCAGGCCUGUGGUGACUUGGCUCAGGCCUGUGAUGACUUGGCCCUGGCGCGUCAUAUCUCCUCGAAGGCAUGUCCUGAGGACGCUCUCCCUGCGGAAUAGCUGUAGUAGAAGAGAAGCAGCUUAUCUUGUCCGUCAGAAACGUGAUGGCUUUGAAGCACUUGAUAAGUAGCCUAUCUUGUUUCUUGCACCACCUCUGCAACUUACUGUUGUUUCUGUGAGCUUCACUCAAGCUCUUGCUCUCCCGCGCUGGAGGUACGUGCUCACUGAAAUGAUACAUGCUCGUAUCAUACUCCUCCUCCCUAUCCUCAUCUGUCUCAGCAAUAUCAUCCUCUGUAGCUUCCGUCGUAGGGACAUUGUCAUCAGUCGGUGGAGCGCUCUCAAAGUAGAGGUAAUCACGCGCAGGUCUGAAGUCAAUGUUCUCACCCUGAAGUAUGGUUGUGGCCUCGAUGCAGGGAAGCAAAAUGUUGGCUGUUCGGGUCAGGGAGUGCUCGAAUUUGUAGCGAUAAAAAUCGCCAACCAUGUCGUAUUCCAGAAACUCACAACGCCGCAAGUGAUCUAAAUCCAUCAUCCUCGGAUCAAACCCUGGAGAUGUGAGAGGUACACCACAUGCAAUCAGAAUCGGUGUCACAACGCCACCUACACAAAGGGCUCCUCGCACCUUCUUCUUUCCGUUGGUGUGCGCCCACUUCCUGUAUCCACACAUAUGGAUCAACAGAAGCAUAACCAGUGGUGUAUCAUUGAGGUCGCCCUUUAGGACCUUCUUCCCCUUUGUUCUCUGGAGAAUGCCCUUGAGUGCAGAAUCAAUCAUUUCCAUGUCUGUGUUAGACACGGUGCCCGUAGAUUUCCUGGGGUACAGAACAUUCGCUACUGAGCGCUGAUAGUAACGGAUCACAGGGCUUCAAAUCUGGUUGCUCUUAGACCUUGCAGAGUUGAGCGCCAAAUCGUUCCCAAUGGUUAACCACAAAUCCUUCAACUCUUCCCUCUCGAACUUGGGUUUAGUUCCCUUUCCACUAGGAAAACCAAAUAAUCCUUCGAAGCUCUUGAUAGAUAGCUGGUAACGCUACUCGUUAACUGAAAAAGUCAAGAACCCCAACCCUUCACUCUCCAGUUCAUCUGCAGUAAGUCCCUGAUACAACUCCACUUGCAGAGUGGAGAGAAACUCUAUUGUUUCCUUCUUAUAAGCGACGUACGGGUAAGACAUCAGCGUCUCAAGAUGGCACUUCUCGAAUAAGUGCUGUACGUCCUCCAGUAGCCCAAGCUGGGCUAGAGUCUCGUAACAGGGGUACCUCGUUCCCCAGAAGUCGUUCAGCUCGAAAAGUCUGAUGUACUCCUCCACUGUAACUUCAUCAGGCUUGUUCAACAGUUUUGUUUCUCUGUGCCAUGACUCAGGCUCAUACUCGACGUCAAUAUCUUCGUCGAUCAACUCAUAUCUGCUGGUCAUCGCUCUCUUUCCUCUAGCAAUCUCAGCUCUCCUUUCAUUGCGUCGAGCUACUGAGCGUUGGGUCUCGGCUCUGAAGCUCUCAUAAGCCUGUUGCUCUCUCUCUGGUCUAGUUGACCAAGAUUCAGCUUCAUCGACGUUGUAAUCCGCAUCCAUGGAGGAUUCGCCACUGUAGUUACUCAUAUUGAUUCCCUGAAAAAGAAUGUAACUCAAAACCAAAUAUCAAUAUGUUAGUUCAAAUAAACACACACACUAAACCAGUCAAGUACGCGGUCGAGUGAAACGGUCGAGUAAACGGCGAAUUUAGAGAAGACGGUGGCGGUUUGAGGAGCAGUCGAGUAAAGAGACGAAUGGAGGCGCAGUGAAUGGCGAGGUCGAGUGAAUGGUGGAUAGUUGAGAGAUGGUGAAGCCGGUCCGGUGGUCGAGUGAACGGAGAUGACGGAAGCACGGACAAUGGCGAGAAACUCCGGCGAAGAUGUUGAGGCGAAGUGUGAAGUGGUCGAGUGAAACGAGAGACGGUGAGAGAGUAUGCGAAGCUGGAACGGCGAGAAGCUCCGGCGAAGUCGAGUAAAUGAAGAUGAAGAUGAAGCACGGAGAGGUCGAGUUGCGGUCGAGUGGUAAGGAGGCGACGGUGAGAAGGAAGAAAUGGCGAAAUCGAGUACCGUCGUCGAGUGAAGGAGAGAGUGAAGGAGGUGGCGCGAACGGCGACGGUUGUUUCGAGGUAGAGUGAAGGAGGGAGACAAAGCCGGAGGGGCGAGAUCGAGUGAACGGUGAGGUCGAGUGUGAUGGUGCGGUCGAGUGACUGAAGAGGAAGAGAUAUGGUGAGGUUUGGUCGUGCGUGUGAGGAUGAGGUCGAGUGAGGGUUGUGAGGAAGAGAGAUAGUGUCGGUGGGGAGAGAUAGGGUUAGAUCGAGUGGAUGAGAUGGAGUGCUGGGAUUUUCUUAUCCUUAGAAACGCUUGGGGAACAAAAGUGAGAGGUGGUGGGCCACGCUCUGUCUGUUUGUCCUGAAGCAUUGUUUAUUGUUGUCUAGGAAUGUCUCAGAGCCUUCUGUAAUCCUCUGUAAAUUUGAUAAGCUCUCUGUAAGUCUUUGUAGCUUCUGUUGGUCGAGUAUAAAUAUGAUUUCAAAAUUUUGAGUUUUUAAAAUCAUUACUAAUACUCGACCAAACUACUCGAACUCAUGGCCUCUGAGUGCAACAGAGGUUUUUUCAAAUUCUUGAAUUUCUGAAAUACUCGAUCUCCUGUUGCUCUGUAGAGUAAAAAUUUUAAAUUUUUACUCUACCUCCACGCUGUUUCUCUGUUCCUGAGAAUCACAAACACAACCAAAAACAGAUCAAAAAUAACGAGAAAAUAAAAGUUUUAUUUACAGAAACAGUCUUGGGAAUUCCUCCCAAGUGAGCUUGUUUAAAGUCUCUAGCUUGACUCCUCACACUCAUUAAGAAGAAAAUGGGUGAUAGAGAGGGUCUGCAUAGUCCUCUCUAAUCUCAUCAUCAUAUUCAGCAUCCUCUCUUGAGAGAUGAGUUGCAGAAUACUCAAUUCUUCUUUCCUCGAAAUAGGCUUCUUUCUCUUCUGGUGGAUAAUCUAUCUCUUCAGACCAUCUUGAAGUAAUCUUUUUCCUCGGGAUAGUGUUAUUCCCGCAUUUGGAUUAGCUAUCUCUUGCAUCUGAUCCAGUUUACUCUUAAGUUGCUCAACUGUCUGAGCUAGCUUCUCUAUGGUCUCUUCUUGCUCAUCAGAUUUCUUUUUGAGAUUUCGCAAGUCGGGUGUAGAGGCUGUGCUUGGUCUAGCGAUUGAAUUCGAAGGCUGAGGUUGAGCCCUGACCUUUUCUUCUACAGCUGUCCUUUGCGAGGUUUUAUUGAUGUCAAACUGGAGCUUGAUGUGCUUCCCAAGGUUGAGACUUAUUCUCCCAUCUCUGACAUCUAUCAUCGCUCCCACUGAGGCUAAGAAAGGUCUUCCUAGGAUUAGAGGAUCCUUAGGUUCUGCUUCCAUAUCAAGCACAACGAAAUCCGUAGGCACCUCCACUCCAUUAAUCAUUAGUGGCAGAUCUUGUAGAAGGCCGAAGGGUUUUCUUGAAGACCCAUCAGCAAGGAUUAAAGUCAGGUCGCAAGGUUUGUACUGAGUGAAUUCCAGCUUCCUUGCUACUGAGAGUGGCAUUAAGCUUACUGAAGCUCCCAAAUCACAAAGGCAAUUGCUGAAAACCAAUUGACCGAUGGAACAUGGUAGAGUGAAAGUUCCUGGAUCUUCCAGUUUUUCUUGAACACUCCUCUUAACAGUGGUCCUAGACGGGAUAGCAUCACAUUCGUCUUCUGAAUCUUGAUGAAUCUUGAUCCUUUCUAGAAUUGACUUUCUCACAUCUUUGUGAGGAUCCGGGAUUAGGUUGAGCACUUCUAUUAGAGGCAUCACCGCUUCCAUCUCAUCAAGCUGCUUCUCUGCAAGAGAAUUGUAUCUUUCUAUCCAUGCUUUCCUGAAUUUCCAUGGAAGAGCACGUGAAGGUAAUGGUGCUGGCUUGAAUCGUUUUACCAUCCUCUCAAUGAUGGCUGCUUUCUCGUCUAGGUUGGACUGUGUUUGAAAUCGGGAUCCUGCUGAAUGGGCGAGUCCAACCACUGAAAUUUCAAUCUGAGUAGAAACCUCCCCGUCUUGAACAUCACUGUCCUCGGUGAUUGAUGUGGAGACAUGUCGAGUAGGCAGCUCUCGAUCAUGGCAGAUGGUGAUAGCGUGAGCGGUGGCGUAUUCCUUUGGGUUCUGUAUGGACUUUU
rnacentral:sRNA from 1 species